GAUGAACGCUGGCGGCGUGCUUAACACAUGCAAGUCGAACGGAAAGGCCAGUGCUUUCACUGGUGCUCGAGUGGCGAACGGGUGAGUAACACGUGGGUGAUCUGCCCUUUACUUCGGGAUAAGCUUGGGAAACUGGGUCUAAUACCGGAUAGGACCUCUUUUUGCAUAUUGUUGUUGAGAGCUUUUGCGGUUUGGGGUGAGCUCUCGGCCUAUCAGCUCGUUGUUGGGGUAAUGGCCUAUCCAGACGUUGUCGGGUAGCCGGCCAGAGAGGGUGUACGGCCACAUUGGGAAGGAGAGAAGGGCCAGACUCCGACGGGAGGCAGCAGUGGGGAAUAUUGCACAAUGGGCGCAAGCCUGAUGCAGAGAAGCGGCGUGGGGGAUGAAGGCGUUCGGGGGGUAAACACCUUUCGCGAGGGACGAAGCGUGUGUGUGACGGUAACUGGAGAAGAAGCACCGGCUAACUACGUG
rnacentral:rRNA from 1 species